GCUGGGGGUACCGCAGGCCCCGCCCUACUCACCCAGGAAAAGGCCGGUGGCGAAAGCGGCGCCCAGUGCGGCGGAGGCCAGGGCCAGCGCGGCGGGCACCGAGAGCCGGGGUGCGGGAUGGAUCAUGAUGUGGCCAAGGAACCGCAGUCUUACUGCAAAUGGCACCAGAUCCCACAAGCUGGCACACAGUAGGUGCUUAAGAAAUGGCCGCUGUUGGAGUGGAGACCUCUGGGGAGAAAAGUGAUGGCAGUGUGUUGGAGCUGCGUCGUGGGGCUCCUUGCUGCCUGAGCUGCCAGUCCAGUCAACACAGUAACCGGAGGGGCCUUCUGCAGAGCGCCCGGCAUUCUGUAUCCAGCCUGCCUGUGAGGCGGGGUUAGGAUUCCCAUUUUGCAGAGGAGGAAACCGAAGCUCAGAGAGGCGCCCUGUCCACGCUGACUGGGUGCCCUGGGCCCCCGCGGGAGCCAGACUCCCAAGAAGCUCUUUCCUGGCAGUUCCGCGGGGCCGGGGUCCUGGGCUCAGCCUGGGCCCAGCCUGGGCCGCAGACCAGCACUUUGUCCCCUGUCUGGGGGUCCGGAUCUGGGCAGGCCCCCAGCUCACACCCGAACCUCCCUCCCCGAAAGCCCCGCUUCAGGCGAGAGCUCUGGAGAGGGGGUUGGGGGCGGAGCGGGCGGGGAGGGGAGGCAUGUCACCAUAUAUCCCCGUCAGAUUAAAAAACUAAUUUGAAAAGAUUAAUGUAUUCCAUUCUUGUUACGCUGGCUCUGAUACCUCUGGGCCCGCGGCCGCUCUGCCUCCUGAUUAUUGAAUUUUUAUGGCCUGGUAAUUAAUUGCAGAUUCCCUGUUUUGUUCUAUUUCUUUUUCUCUGACAUUUUAAUUUCAACAAAAAGCAGUGGUCUCCAUGCAGGUUCUCUCUGGAGAUCCUAAUGGUCUAUAAAACAGAAUGACUUAUAGACGUGGCACCCACUUCAGUUGGCGAGCGAUUGUUUGAAACCUUGCUGAUCACGCAAAAUUUAAUUUUUCCACCUCCCUCCCCCGUUUGCUACUCAUUUCUUGUCUCUUG